rnacentral:rRNA from 1 species
UACAGAGGCCUCGAGCGUUAGGCGGAAUCACUGGGCUUAAAGCGUGUGUAGGCGGAUCGUUAAGUGUCUUGUGAAAUCCCACGGCUCAACCGUGGAACUGCUGGGCAUACUGGCGAUCUUGAGCAGCCUAGGGGCGACCGGAACAAACGGUGGAGCGGUGAAAUGCGUAGAUAUCGCUUGGAACGCCGAAGGUGAAAACAGGUCGCUGGGGAUGUGCCGACGCUGAGACACGAAAGCCAGGGGAGCAAACGGG